UACGUAGGGUGCGAGCGUUGUCCGGAAUUACUGGGCGUAAAGAGCUCGUAGGUGGUUUGUCGCGUUGUUCGUGAAAACCUGAGGCUUAACCUUGGGCGUGCGGGCGAUACGGCAGACUGGAGUACUGCAGGGGAGACUGGAAUUCCUGGUGUAGCGGUGGAAUGCGCAGAUAUCAGGAGGAACACCGGUGGCGAAGGCGGGUCUCUGGGCAGUAACUGACGCUGAGGAGCGAAAGCGUGGGGAGCGAACAGGA
rnacentral:rRNA from 1 species